GGCUGCUCUGCAGGCAGCAUGGUCCAGUCACAGACGGCCAGAGUCACAGGCAGGUCCCCAUCUUAAUUCCAAAUACAUCUGCAAAACCCCUAGACAGUCUUCCAAGCAGCCCAAGGGAAGCCCACUGUUUGCAGGCGGUGCCCCUCAAUGCGGAGACAGCACUCAUUUGGAUCUGGUUUCCCAGGUGACCUUCCGGCAGCAUUCACUCCUCAGGGCUCCAUGAAGGUCUGGCACAUGCGGGGCAAGGCUGCUCUCUCCCACAUGCUUGCAACCCUAUUCUAACAGCACAGGAUCAUUUGAAUCAGUGUGGAAUAUGCUGAGACUGAAAGAUGUGGUCUGCCACGGCUAGGGUAACUUGCUCAGACUCAGAUCUCAAAAGUAAGGACAUGCCCACACUCUGCAGGCUCAUUCUGAGCCUCUAAUCACUGAGAUCUCCCAGGUCAGCCUUUCCACAAUAGCUGUCUGAGUCUCUCUUAUAUAAAUCCAAUUUAUACCACAAAGGCAAAAUACAAGGCUGCUUAUUAAUACGGAGUUAACUUUCAGUGUUAUUUCCCAUAUGCCUGAUGACACUUUAGGUGUGUUACUUAUAUGCAUUAUUUAAUCCUCCUGAUAAUCACAAAGGGUAGGCAUCCUUCACUUAGAGAUGGACAAACUGGAGACAUCGGAGAGAUUAAAGAACUCAUGCAAGAGGAUCAGGCUGCUGUGCCGUUGUUGGGUGUCACACUCAGAGUCCCCAACAGAUGACAGCAGCCUCUCCACACAUCUUCCCAUCGUGGUGUGGACGGCUUCUGAGCCUCUCUGCUGUCUGAAAGGCAUGCUGCAGGGGAGUUGCUUGCAUGCUAGUUUUCUUUUUAAGCAUGCAACCAUAAGGAAGAAAUAAACCAAAAGCCCUACUACCCUUUUCUACUCUCUUGAGGUAUAUCCCUAAAUCUAGAGGACAAAACAAAGUAACAUACACACCGAAGAGCCCCGCCUCGUGCAUACAAGUGAUACUAGAGAAAUAAUAUGUAUCAACUCAGUGUCCUCUAUUGAGUUGUAGCCAAUGGAAGUCUCAUGGACAUUUUUCUGCCACAAAUUUAAAAGACUAGAUUUUUUUUUUUUUUCAUGAGACAGGGUUUCUCUGUAUAGCCUUGGUUGUUUUGGAACUCGAUCCACAGACCAGGCUGGCCUUGAACUUAGGGAUCCACCUGCCUCCAUUUUCAGAGUGUUAUGAUUAAAGAUGUGGACCACCCUGCCUGGCCGCCAGGCUGGAUCUUGUUGGUAUCUCUAAGAGCCACUGCAAAGUUGCACACUAACAGAGAAGCUUCUCUUCUGAAAGAUGCACAGUCAACAUGGCUUACCUGAUAGGAAAUGACUGUGACAUCAGACCAACCAGACCAACAAGACCCAAAAGACUACAGGCUCCUCAGAGUCAGCUCGGACCAAAUAAGUCGACUGAAUGCAGUAAGCAUGCUUAGGUUUUCAAAUGCCCUGAGACAAUACUCUGAGAGGUGAUCAUAGCAUCCUUCCAGGAACCUUGCUAGGUCACAACUCAUGCCUCACUCAAGAGCUGCUCCUUCCCAAGCUUGUAAACCCACUCUAACAGCACAGAGGCAUUCUCUUUAGCAAGCCAUACAGUUCUGUAAGAUGGAAACUUUGUCGUGGAAGAAAAUCUGAGUCAGGGCCAGUUGAGAUGGCUCAGUGGGUAGAUAAAACAGCUAUCCUUCUGAUGGCCUGUUCGACCCCCACCCCCCUCACCCUGGAAGUCACAUGGAGGAGGGACAGAAUCAAUUCCUACCAAGUGUUUUCUGACUGCCACAUACAUGCUGUGGUGUAGGUAGGAGUCUCCUCCCCCAAUAAUGUUUCUAAGUUGGGGAACAGUUCAGUGCGUCCUCCUUUUGGGAGAGCACAGUUUGAAGGCUCGGAGAAAAUAACCGAGUAGCAUCGCACAGUCCAGGACAGAAGGUAAGCCACAGAGUUCAGCUGCUGAAGCAUCUGGGAACAUUUCAUUAAUGAGCAAAAGAAACAAUCGCCUACUGACAAUGCCUGUGGGAUCACUGAGGCCUCGGGAACCAAGCAGUGCUGGGCAGAGUACUGAGAAAACAGGAAAACAAACACUGCAAAAGGGGUAACAAAGAAGCCUGCGGAGGGAAGUUAUAAAUAGCAACAUUAUAACUAGAAAGCUGCGUGGAAAGAGUGAGGACCGAGGUGCAGCUGACCCAAAGAGGGAGAGCAGGAAAUUUCAAUAAAUGACAAAGGCCGGCAGAACAGAGAGGGCUCUGCCCACGGUGGGCUAAGAGUUUCCUUUCUUCUUCCUGCACAUUUUGUAAUAUCAGCUUUACAAACACACACACACACACACACACACACACACUUAAAAAAGCAGAAAGUCUGGUGGUUUUCAGUGUCUUCGUAGAGUUGUGCAAAUACUGCCACAAUCGACGUUAGAAUAUUUUCAUCAUCCCAAAGCAAAAAGCCCAUACAUAGCAAAGCUUCCCCCAGCUCUGGGGAAUGACUAAUCUUACUCGUCUCCACUUCUCCACUGAAUCGCCUGCCAGGAGCAUUUUACUUAGUGGAAUCAAACAAAGGGUGUUCUCCUGUAGCCACUGUCUUCCAUUUAAAACAAUGCUUUCAAUAUUCACCCUUGGCAUGGUGUCUACUAGUCCUUCUGGCUUUGGGCUGUACUGAUUCUCACUGUGGGAAAGCGAGCCUUUCUAUUAAUGUGGAGUGAUAACAUCGUAGGUAUUGGGAGUAGAAAUGCUAGAAACACUGACAAACUCGGAAGGGGUAAGGAUGUCAAAGGAUGGUGGAUGCUGAGGUCCAGGCAAGGUGCUGAGAAGGGUCUGUUUGCAUCCCAGACUCUGUAUUUUUGGCUAACUCUAUCCACUAACUUGGGCCAUUCUUUGAUAGACAGGGCUGUCACAGUGGGCAUAAUCUGUAGAGGAAUUGUCACCUACAGUGUGGACUGUGUCUCCCCUCUGCUCAGCAAGCUACCUGUGCCACUUAUGGAAAACCAAGUGCACACACAUGAGCUUGAGCUCUGUAGAAAUGCCUGACAAAUGGAUGGCUGAAGCUGCAACACUGAAGCUCUGCUAAGAUGGGGAGAGAGAAAAGGAAGGGCAGGAGAGAGUCAAUGGAAAAGAUGGUGACGAAGGGUGCAGCUCAACCUUAGAGUCCUUUUACCAGCACUAUAUUGUUCUCACAGACUGUCUUAAUUCCCGUGUACUUUUAAAUAGUCGAAAACGCGAUUUUCAACCUAUUUUAAAACCCACAUACAAAUUUGAAAAACUGCAGGCAGAUUUUAACACAGGGGAGAAAACAAACAAAGAGAGCUGGCAUGGGGGUCAGGACAGACAGGGCCCUCAAGCUGAUGGGGCAUGGUCAGCAGGGGAGGGCAGCUUCAUGGCUGCUUCAAGGAUGGAGAAUCUCUGUCUCACAAAAGUCACACACUUUGUCCUCAAGAGUUCUGAAAAAAGGAAAAGAAGCAAGAAGUCCCUGCAGAGGGCCGACUCCCCUGCAGCCGUUCUCAGCAGGCUUGAGCACAUAAAGAUCACUUGUGACUGCCUGUCACAGAUGCUCAAAUGGACAGGAUGGGGAAAAAAAAUACCCUUCACACACUUAAAAAUUACUCUAAGUUAUUUUAAAUCUGGAACUGUUUGUAUAUUCCUUAUAAGUUUAUGAAACUCACACGGUCGCUCCAUGACUAACUGAAGCGGAAUUGAGAGAGUAGUCUCUAUUUAUAACUUCUCUGCUUGUGCGUGCGUCCAGCCCUAUUUCCAUUCUCUGGUACUGUACGCAGAGUUAUGUGAAGCCGUGUGGGCUCUGAAAUGCUACUUACUUCCUAACAAGGCAGGCCUGUGUUCCAUAGGGGCAAAUCAGUGGGAGACGGGGUGAGGGGUUGCAAUGACCAAGUGAAGGCCAGGCUCAGAGGGGAGGUCUCAAGCACCCAUCAUUGCUCAGGCAGAUCUUUUGCUGUUGGUUUUGUUUGUUUGCUUUAUUUUAUUUAUUUAUUUUAAAGACAGAGUUGCUUUGUAAACCCUGGCUGUCCUGGGACUUCCUCUGUAGACCAGGCUAGCCUCAAAUUCACAGAGAUCCAUUUGCCUCUCUGCCUACCGAGUGUUUAUACCACCUCCACCCGGCUAGACUGCACCUCUCUAAACGGGUGUUUGAGCCUGUUUUGGGACAAUCGCACACCUGGUGAUGGCUGAGAGAUCUGUUCUGAUGGUGUGAAUUCAUCAAUACACACAUUCCCAGGUCAGUGCCUUAAAUCUGUGUGCCCGCUCAUGUCACCUCUUCCACUUGAUUUUAGUGGAAUUGUGUCACCAAAGGGUGCAAGGCUUUAACAGGUCAUGCAUAAGCCUCUCUCCAUACACAAAUGUUUAUGUGAAGAUAACUGAAAUGACUGACCAGAGUCACCCAUGGGACAACUAGUACUCAGAGCAGAGCACAUGAGGCCUAGGAUUAAGUUCUGUUACGAAAAGCAAGACGGUUCAUGGAGAGAGUAAUAAAUGUGAAAGAUACACGCGCACAUAGACUACCCAUGGAAUUCGGAUGGCUACAUGUACAUGGACACGAAUCCCCUAUUCACAGCUGCUCCCAUCAACUGUAAGAACAGCUGCUCUAAGGCUGCCUAGUCAUAGUUUGGAAGAAAAAAAUCAAAACCAACUCCUGGAAUCUUCUCUAAAACAAUGCUCUGGUGACUGUAGUUGUCUCGCUUCAUGCUGCUCCAAGAGGAGGAACUCCCCAUGAAAAGGAGGAAAAGGCAGUCCACAGUCCACGCUUCCUUUUUGGGAAAGAUCAGAAGGGGUAACAGGCACCUCACACCUCAAUCCUGUGACUAAUUAUGAAGGUGGUUUAUUUUUACUGCAUAGCCUUUUCUUUUCCAGUUUAUAUCACCUCUUAAUGUCUCCAGAUUCAUUCCUUUCUAGAAUCUUAAACUUCAUUACAGCCAUCUCUUAUGUCCAUGUAUGAAAUAAAUUACCACUAAAAACAUCCCUGAGAAACAUGUCUAAGGCAACUCAGUCACUGUAUGCACACAGUGAAGUUUACAGGAACUAGGAGGACUGUGACAUCAUUAUAGCCCCGACCUGAACAGGAUCACUGAUGUGACUGAACCUCCAGGAUGCACAGCUGCGUUUAAAUCAGUCGCAGUUCUUGAAGAAGCACGCACUUUCUAAACACAGCACGGAUAUCAACAGCUGGUCAAGUGACCUUCAGCCUGCUCCUCUGAGGCCCCUGCCUCUCUGCUCACCACUUCCUUCAUCCUGCUGCUCUGCUCCUGUAACUUGGCUGGAAACAUGACUUAGGUAUUCCCAGGACCAUCCUACUACAUACUUUUACUUACCAAGUAGCAAUCAUUAAAAAAAAAAAAAAAGCUCAGCUAGACCUUUAAAUUAUCUAGGAGGGUAGAAAAGCAUUGUCCCUGAUAAUUGUACAUCCUGAAAAAUACUAUCACUAGCAUAAAUACAUGGAAUAUUCAUAAUCAGCCUAUCUCACUGUUAAAAAGUACCUAGAAAAGAGACCAUGCAACUGUUGAGAUACCAUUUCUAGAAUCUCUCUCUUUUUCUGAGUGUGCAUGUGCGCACACACAGACUUCUGUUGGCUUUCAUUGUACUUUGCUUGAAUUUUGUGAGCAGAGGGGGUGGAAAAAGGUACCAACUUGGCUAAAACGCAUCGCAAGUGUUGAUGCCCCAUAGUGCCAAUAGGAAUCCGAGUAUUCUGGAAAUGAUCACUUCUCAGUUUCAACCAGGUUUUUUCGUUUUGUUUUUAAAAAUGGUACUGCCCACCGUUAAAAAGUUCACUGAAGGCAUUCAAAGUUCGAGAUGCCACGCUCUUUUUUAAAACCAUUUUUUAAAACGAUUAAUAGUUGAGCACUUAGGUGGGCAGCGGUGGCAUGCACCUACAAUUGCAGCACUUGGGAGGCAGAGGCAGGUGGAUCUAUGUGAGCUUGAGGCCAGCCUAGUCUACAGAUCAAGUUCCAGGACAGAGGUACAUAGAGAAAAAUAAACAAACACAAAAAUAAAACCAAAAUCAAAACCACCACAACAACAACUACAAAAUUGGGUCCAGACUGGGAGCCAUCCUAGGCACAGUGGGUAGAACGCACGCCAGCUGACUGAACAGUUCGGAUGAAGAUGCCAACAGAGAGAGGCCCCUUCUGUUUUUUCCAAUUAAUUAGGAACUGUAUGUCUGUAAAUUUUUAUUUGGUCUUUGAACUAUUAUCUCCUGAUCUCAGAUAAUCUGGUUUACUCUAAGGUGCUGUCCAAAUCAUCAAGUGUUCCUUGAUUGCUCAGACCUAUCCAUUAUCACCCUUGGAUGUAAGAGACUGAAGCAAUGAGAAGCAUCCUGGACCUCUGAAGACGAGGGUGAACCCAGGGAGCUGCUGCCUUUCUUCAGACCCCAGAGUUUCCUCAUCCAGCAGGAGGAGGCAGGGAGGUCAGGGUGCAGAAGCCGUGGAGCCUGUAUCCUAGUCUGCAGCGUAUGUCAAGGUGUGCUUUGUCCCGAUUUAGAGACAGAGCGAGCGUUGAAGUGAAAAAGGGUUAAGAGGAUGGAACAAACAGAACAUACUUUGCAGGCAAUGACAGUGACCCAGGUAAAGGCAGAAGCUGUGCUCAACUCCCUGUAAUGGGAGCCAGACAUGCAACUUCUGUUAUGCAAUGCUUUGUGAAAAGGGGAAGGCUUUUGGUGGUCUCCACUCUCCCACGGGGGCCUCUCUCCCACGGCCUAGGAACGCAGGAGAGAGGAGGAAUGGCCACCACAAGUCUGGGCUGCAUUCCUCUGUUCUGCUUCUCCAUGGGGCCUGGGAGCGAGCACCUUUGCAAGAGAAAACUCCCCAAGAGCUACUGGAUUCUGGAGCAAAGGCAACUCAGGAACUAUGAACCCAGAGGACGGACAUCUUCACUUGGCAGAUGGAGAAAGUGAAGUUCAAGCAAUCUAAGCGAGGAAGGUUGUAGUGCUCGCUCACUCACUGGAGGGGGGUUGGGGGGAGCUUGUUCAAGCUUCCAAGGAGUGAACACAGGGAUUGGGACACCAGAAAAGCAGCUUUUCUUCAUCUUUGAAAUCACAAGCCCUUUGAACACACGAACCGCACACCUUCCUUAAAGAAAUACUGGGGAUUUUGAAAUCAAUUUAAGCACCUCUAAUUUCCAACCCUGAAACGUUUUACUACGUGCAUUCUCUAACUGCACUCGUCUCUCACCUUGUAAACAAGCAAGAUCGGCUGGAUGAGUGUCCCCUAAUUACGGUUUCCUUGGUGCCCGUCUAUCCGCAUUGGCAGCACCUGAACUUUCUCCUGCACUGUAUCUUCCUAAAUUGACAUUCUCAGCCCACACUGGCACGCUGGCCUGGUGCCAUUCAACAGCACAAAUGACACAUCCCAAGCCUGAUACUUCCGUCCUCCUGCCCUCUCCACACUGCGUGUCCGUAAUCCUGCCCUCCACCCACUCCCCAACCCUUUGAAAUUUCUAAACCCCAGCAGAGGAAGCCCUGUAGGGCUCUUAAUAAGCUCAGUCAUGCUCGAAAUAUCCGUUUUACCCACAGGGUAUUGUAGGCAGCAAUUCCGACCAGAGCACAUCUCGGCACGAGAUCAUGGCCUCCAAAGCCCAGCGUUCAGAACUCCUAAGAGCACCGCUCUCAUGCAGUCCCACUGGAACACUUGGGAACUUCAAACAGUUUGGGGGUGGGAAAAAAACAUCCUCUCUGAUACUUCCACCUUCCACCUACACUGUGGGUUAGGAAACUCCUUCCUGUUGCUGUGGCCACGGAGGGUACAUAUCGCAACUCUCCUGGCUCUAGUGUUUGUGAAACCCACAGGAACUCUGCCACCACCUACACAGAAAGUCCCAUGCCAGAGACAACGACGCAUAAACAUUUUAUGUUAAGUUAGCCACAUGCUAAGAAAAUAUCAUCUUGAUCAGGUAUUUUUCUAGUUCUGUCUCACGUUCAAGUCUCAAGGCCCACGUGGAGGGGAGCACGGAAGUACACUGGUUGCAUAUCUUCUGCCCCACUGGAAGAUGCUUGGGAUUUCUGAAGAAACCACCUGUAAAUCAGUCUAUCCCUUAGGUAAUCGAGAAAGAGAGUCCAUGAAUUGUGUUUCAUUGAUGUGAGUCCUAUAGGUGCUUCCCCUUGGACAAGGAUAGGUACCAAGAACACCAUCCUGGGCUGGGGAGAUGGCUCAGUAGGUAAAGUGCCUGGUGUUCCACAAACAUAGGGCCUGCGUUUGGUUUCCUAGCAGCCAAAUAAAGCACAGGACUUGGCAACAGGACCCUGGGAUCUCCCUGGCUAGACGCCCUCGUUGAAAUAGCAACCUCUGGGUUCAGGGAGAUGUUGUAGUAAAGAUAAUAGUGAUAAUCAAGGUGGAGAUGGCUAGAGGAUGAUGGUCGACACCCACCGUCAACUGUGGCCUUCACCUGUGCACAUGCACACACAGGCAGCAAGUGCACCCCAUAUACUACACACACAGGCAGAAAGUGCACCCCAUAUACUACACAUACAGGCAGAAAGCGCACCCCAUAUACUACACACAUAGGCAGCAAGUGCACCCCAUAUACUACACACACAGGCAGCAAGCGCACCCCAUAUACUACACACACAGGCAGCAAGCACACCCCAUAUACUACACACAUAGGCAGCAAGCGCACCCACAUAUACAUAUACACAGUUUUUGAAAAAAAAAAAAAAGCUCAAAUCAAUUUAUAAAACAUUAAGUUUUAAGUUGGCCCUUAACUCACUAAUAUUAUUUGAGAGGAUCAUCAGUGAAAUUAGAAACAGAAAGAAUUUAAUUGGAACCUGUUGAUGUGUUUCAGGUUAUUCAAUAACAAAAACAAUCUGCCAGCCCGGUAACAUGGUCAUUUGCUUUGAAUGGGAUUGCUUCAUUCUGUGGAUCCACAUUCCCUGAGGUGGGCCCUGAAUGGCUAGGCUCAUCUUCUGGGAAGAGGGACACAAUGGCACGGGGUAGCAUUCCUCUGCACAUUAAUCAUGCCAAAUAUCAUUAAAAAACAAAACAAAACAAAAAACCAAAACCUACCAGCCCGGAAGCCAUGGUGGCAGCAGUUAAAGCAACAACUUAAGAACAGACGAGGCCCAUCUGCAUGCCGCUGUGGCCACAUUUGAAAAGGCCCAAGGAAUGUCUGUCUGUCUGUCUUCUCUGCCUACAGUUUUCAAAAUUGGUUUCGGGGAGAGUGAGGUUCAUGCUCUGUGUUAGAAACAUAUUACCGAGCAGCUGUCUGGUUACAGAAGAACACGGGCUUGGGAGAAGUUCACAGUCCAGCCCUGUCAGCUGCUGUAAGUCAAAGGGACUCUGCCUCCUCAGAGUUCCACCGGAGGCAGAUGACAGACACCACCCCGCACUGUUAGCCCAUGAACACACGCAGCAAGGCACACAGCGACAGCAAGUGUCUCCUGCACAUCGGCAGUGCUCUGUCAAUAUCAGCUGCUGUCUCCACGUAAGUCUCUGGACUGGAUUCUCACCUUGGCUUUGCCAACUAUGUAACAGUGCAACUAACUGGUGCACAGGUAUAGAAGAGAUGAGGAGGCUCCUAGGACCUUCCGCCACGGCACGCUUGGAAAAGGAACGUGACGAAGAGCUUCUAGUUAGUUCCCUUCAUGUGCUGAAGAGCUGCAGAUCUGGUUUCAUGGAAGGAUGGUUAGAUGAAUAAGAAAGAAAAAGAGAACUAAAGAAUGUUUUCAAUUUUAAAAAUUAUGUGAAAUUGUGUGUGUGUGCGUGUGUGUGUGUGUGUGUGUAUGCAUGUGUGCACAGGCCAAGGUGUACACAUGAAGGGCAGAGGUGUGUGUGAGAGUAUGUGUGUGUGUGUGUGUGUGUGUGUGUGCACAGGCCAUGGUAUACCAGUGAAAGGCAGAGGGUAAGUGUGGGAGUCACUUUCUCUAGCCUUUACCUGCUAAGCCUCUUACUGGCCCGUAAGGGCAGGAAUCUGAAGUACUUAAACCUCACUUCUGAUCAAAUAAAACUUUUAUAAACUUUAAAAGACCGUUUUCUUAAUUUCAGUACUCUUCUCAGACCCUUCUGUCCUAGAGUAACCUCUGUGUGAUCCACAAUAGACCUGGGCUCACCCAGAACUCCCUGAAGGUUCAAUGGUGAUGGUGGUUUGGUUUUGUGCAGUUCUAGGAAUGUACAGAGACACAGGCUGACCACUGAGGUCAUGUGGGGAUUAACACUUCAUCAGGUACAGGAGCUGUAGCUCAGGGGCAGUGUGCUUGCCUAGCAUGCUUGCAGCCCUGGUUCCAACCCCCAGGAACGCUAAAACAGAGAAAACACGUAAAUAACAUGUCUGCCAGGUAGCAAGCUAUUCCAAGACAAGGAAGGAGACUUCUGUGUUUCGAAAAAUCUGUUUUGAAACACAAAGAGAGACUGGGACUGUGGCUCAGUUAGUGUAGUGCUUAUCUCUAUCCGAGAAGUCCUGGGUUCAAUUCCCAGCACCGUUUAAAUGGGGCAUGGUAAUAGAGGCCUCUAAUCCCAGUCCCUGGAGAUAGUGGCAGGGGGACUCCAAGUUCAAAGUUACUCCUGGCUAUAUAGUGAAGAAUGCAAGGCAGACUAGACUGGGCUACAUGAGACUCUGUUUUAAAAAGGGAGGAAGAAUCCUUCCAAUACAUAACUUUACUCAACUUUGCUUCAGCUUACAUUAUAAACGCUGGUGUUAGCAUAGAUACAGAAGCUCUUUCCUGUGUGGUGAUGAAUCAUUACUCACAACCAAACCAAGUGAGGAAGCAGGGCCCCUUAAUAUUAAUUACGGGAUUCAGACAGAGGUAGUUAGAGAACUGUAUAAUGGUAACACCCAAAACUGGGUUGAGUACCCCAAAUACUCAAAAGAAACAGACAAUGCUAACCUGGGAGAUUAGAAAUGAUUCUGCAACUAGUUCCCUGCUGCAUGUGCAGCUGGAGGCCCCCACAAGUUGGAGGCUUGGUGGGAGACUGAGAAAGCAUUUGCUAUUCGUUUUCUAGGUCCAAGGCAUUUCUUCCAGGAUCCAUGGGCUGGACUAGAUGGAGCAAGUGCAGGCUUAAGAAGCACAGGUACUGUCCACACACUCCUGAUCAUCAAGAUGGGGAGGGUAUCCAGCUUGUUGGCUGGUCACUAGAACAUCCAGUUCUCCUUCCAUUUGUACCACUACUAUCUAGGACUCACUGAUCUUCAGUCACAGGAAAAGGUCAUCUAUAGCCAGUGGCCAGAGAUAGCCUUUUAUGCUUGCUGCACGACACAGUCAGGGCAGUAUUCCAGGAAUGCACAGACAGCCUGCUCAGCUUCUCUCACUUCCCCUCUCAUAGCCCAGAUCGAGGAAGAUGGAUUCACCCAUCCUGUCAACAAAGACUGCCAGAAUCUCCUGUAGUUGCAGGUAUACAAUUGUGAGUUGCUAUUUAGGUUAUGGAAGGGCUGUGGCAUGCCAACAGAUAAUGUGUGGCUACAUGGAGGUAGGCAUGGGAAGGGGCAAAUACACACACACACAUAUGCACACACACAAACGGAACACAUACAUAGACACGCACACACACAUAAACACAAACAUGCACAAAGGCUCACACACACACAUACACACUCACACACAUAAACACAAACACACACGUGCUCACAUAUACACACACAUGCAUGUACACACACUCAUGCAUACACAAACACACAUAAACACACACAUAUAUACCCUACUUCUGUACAUGUGUAGUCCUGACUCAGGACCUUGGGACCUGCUGCUCAUUCAGCAUAUGCCGCUUUCUGUUCUCCACAGACAUCCUGCAGAUGUCCCAGUGACCUGCCUGCCGCCUGCCUUCCCUGUCUUUGAGGUGGUGACAACUCCUGCCACCCCAACAUUUUAUGUCACAGCUUCCUCUUCAGCUGACUUGAAAGCUUUAUUUUGUUCAAGGUCUACCGAGCAACCAAGAAAGAAGAGCUAGUGUUUCACGGGUACAGGGUGGAGUGUUCUGGGGAUAGGUCAGUCAUCGUUUCCCUUUUAGGGAGACUUGGAUCGGUGUUAAUGAACUACUCACAGGAACUGGCCAGAAUCAGAGCCCUUGAAUUUUAUGCACUGGUCCAGGGAGGUCCUGAGAGAGUGGAUGCAGAGUGCACUGCCUUUUUUCUGCCUUUGCUUGGAAUCCCAGAGGAGCCAGAUUCCAGGAAGGAAGUGGGGCAGGGAGGCAGCAGGGUAUAACGAACAAACAGAAAAACAAAACAACAACAACAACAACAACAACCACCCUCAAACCUGGUCUGGCUCAGCGGGUAAGAGCACUGACUGCUUUUCUGAAAGCCCCAAGUUCAAAUCCCAGCAACCACAUGGUGGCUUACAACCACCCAUAAUGAGAUCCGAUGCCCUCUUCUGGUGCUUCUGAAGUCAGCUACAGUGUACUCAGUAUAAUAAUAAAUAAGUCUCUGGGCCAGAGCAAGCAGAGUUCCUAAAAUUCAAUUCCCAACAACCACAUGAAGGUUCACAACCAUCAGUAAAUCCAUCCAUCCAUCCAUCCAUCCAUCCAUCCAUCCAUCCAUCCAUCCAUCCAUCCAUCUUCCAAAAAAAAAAAAAAGCCAAAACCAAAGGCAUGGCCACAGAAACAAUGUGUGCCUAUUGCUAUUAGUAACAAGGUACCUUCUUCCAUUUGGGCUGUGUGCGGCUUCAUGGUAGUUUACCCUGUGCUGCCUGUGUUCAUUUCCACAGGGACCCCAGGAUGGCAGGAAGACCUGCAGCCUUCUCACCUUCAGAACCAGAGCCAAGAACACAGAGCAAAUGUCAUGAAUGGUCAGAGUCACACAGCCUGCAGGAGGCAAAGCUGGAAUUCUAAGUGGCUGAGCCUUGAGGUCUCAAAGUUUGUGACCAAUACACUGUGGUGGACCUGCCCCGGUUCCAGAGUCACUGGAAAUAUUCUCAUAGCAAGCAGGAAGAUCUCAGGGACAGCAGACGUAGUUCUAAAUGGGCAUGUCUUGCUAGAAGGCACAGCUGAUGUGCCUUUUCCAGUAAGCAUUACAAGAAGCCCAUUUCCAUGGUUGAAAAAUGCAAAGGAUUAUUCUGAGCCAUCCCGAUGAUAAAGAGGACAACAAUUUGCCUUUAAAAAAAAAAUGGAAGCUGGGCACAGUAGCACUCUUCUGUAGUCUCAGAACUUAAGAUGGCUGAGGAAGAGGAGGACUUGGGAAGAGGAGUUCAAAGGCUGGCAGGGGAAAACACAUCAAGACCUUGUUUCAGAUCCACAACGUAAGCAAACCAGAAGGUGGUGGCAAACCUGGCGGCGACGCUUAGGACAUCUAAAUACUCAAUUAUUUCUACUUCAAACAGUGUAAUUCGUACAAACUGGUAGAGCACAGAAGCAGAAGAACAUUAAACACAGGAUUUAAUAAUGGAUAUGUGCACACACAUAUACACUGUUGAAGAGCUUGUCGUCUGAAAGUUUCUAUGAAUUAAAUAUUUGUUCAUUAACUACUCGAGUUCACUUGCAAGGCAUGCCAGGCGCCAAGGGAGAGCACAGAAGUGCACAAGGCCUUCCACACAAAGACCAGGAAAGGAGAUGUGCACAUAGAUAAUGAGUAAGGCACAGACUUAUGUCAUAAAGAUGCGUAUCAGGAAGCCAAGAGCACUGCCAGCCAAGACCAUGGCGUGGAAAGGCAUGUGUAAAGCAGGUGCUCCCGGCAGGGUCCAUGUAUGCAUGAGAAUCUGCUGGAGUGAUGGUGGGGGUGGGCCCCUUAGAUCCAUGCAUUUCAAGGGAAAACUAUCAAUUAUCAUCUUUAUUUAUUUAUUUUAUGCAUGUGAGUACACUGUCACUCUUCAGACACACUAGAAGGGGGCAUCAGAUUCCCACUACAAAUGGCUGUGAGCCACCAUGUGGUUGCUGGGAAUUGAACUCAGGACCUCUGGAAGAGCAGUCAGUGCUUUUAACCACUGAGCCAUCUCUCCAGCCUAAUUAUCAUCUUUACUGAUAACUAAAAUGCCUUAAAAGUUUAACUUAGUAAUACUCUGUUUAAAAGGUAUAUAACUAAACACAGCCAAUCUGUUUAAAACAACACAGUUUCCUGAGUUGACUAGAAGAUGCUAGUUUUUCAUUCUGUUUCUCCUGGUACAAGAAGAUUUCAAACUAUCUACAAUCCCUCAUUUAAAUUUAAAAACCAACCAACCAACCAACCAACCAACCUCCAUUGUGAGAGGUGCCAUGCCACUGGUACCUGCCUCCUGCUCCUCCUAUUACAAGGAAGGAUGGCUUAAUGGCCUUGCUGGGCUGGGCUUCCUGACUGCCUAACAGUGUGGAAGGCUGCACAGGCAGUGGAGGGAAAAAACCCCCAAACCUCUGUCGUUUGUUAAAACAAACGAGCAUUUUCACAUUCACUCAUACUCCCUGACCCCAUAGAUCCUGUGAAUUCUAAAAAGGACCAUGCUUGAUGAGAAUGUUUUUUAAACAUUAACGCCUACAAGGUGGAGAGCCAGAAGAAGGGAGCCAAGAGUGGAUGGCGACCCUCUUCCUCUCAUGCUUAGCAAUUUCUGGUUUCACUCCUAUGCUUCUGAGCACCCCAACAGGAAGGCUUCACAGCUCCUGAAGGUCUGAGCUAGACCAGGGUACACAUGAAUAUGCUGAUUAUGUGGUGCUCAUGCAAGGAGACCCCUAAAAGAUGACUUCCCCACCUAAGUCCGAACCGCCAUGACUCUGAGAUAAUUUACCCAAAGUUACAUUUCUGUUUCCCAAAGUAUUAACAAGAGUGUUUGGCUCUUUUAAAAAGAAGCUUAGUCUUUCAGGGCUUUUUUUUUUUCCCUUUUCUUUUUUCAUUUUCAACAAAUUGCUUCUAUCGUCUGAGAUCUCCAUUACGGAACUGUUUGUAUUGAGUUUUAGUGAAGGAAGAAAAAAAAAAAAAAAAGAAAACAGAGCGGCUGGGAAGAUUCAAGUGUGCUGGAGACUUAACAUUAGGAUCGGGCACACCCCAGGCUUCAGGGUUAAGUUAAGGAGGGUGCUUGUGUCCAGUGUGAGAGGUGGGGAUGGGGAUAGAGGAAGCUUCCUCGGAAGACUUGACCACUCCCCCUCUUUUGUGAAGCCUGGACCCCUGUCACAGCGAGUACCAGAGUACAGCACUCACCCAUGAGCCUCAAUUCCAUGUGAGCCUAUUCUUUACUCCACGUUAGUCUGCCUCUUUUGCAAGCACACUCUGCAACUUUUCAUUUUAAACUGUGUGGUGUGCUAACGAGAGUCAGCAGCUCUCUGAGUGACCUAGGCAAGUUCUUUCUUCCAUGAGCUGCCUCCAGCAACAGAGAAAGGGGGCAAUACUGUUGCAGGGUCACGGCAGUUGGGAACACUUUUCCUAUAGUUCCAGAAUUACUGGUCUCCUACCCAAACCUCAGAUCAUCAUUAAGACAUGCUAAUGUGUAGCGAGACAGGUUGGAAGGAUCUUUUUCUAUAUAAAAUACUGCUGACUGGGGCGUGGAACCCCUGUCCUAUUGGGUGCUGUGGCCAUGCAAAAAGAGGGUCUUCCAAAAAUUUAGGAUUAAGAGGGCAUGGUGGGAGAGGAACAACAAACUUUGGAAGCCUUCUCAAUGUACUGUAGAAUUAAAAGCCAACCAAGGCAAGGAAGGUGCCUUCCAACCUAGAAAUCCAGCCACCCUCUGCAACGAGCCCAGGCCUGCUGGAGACCACGUGAGGUGGUAGUGGGUAUGCCUGGAACCUAACAUACCACUUCUAGUACCGCCCAGCUGGCACCCAAUCAGGAGCGGCACAGCAUUCUCUAAGCCCAGGUUGGCACCUGCAAUCAUCUUAAGCAUACAAUGGCAUUGAUUUCCACUUAGGGUGUAGAAAUAACACUCAGAAAUUUUACCUAUCUCUGCUGUUUUGCUGCCAAAUUUCAAAUACUCUCCAAGAAACGCAAACACAACAGAACACGGAGGAUGUGACACACAAAUUCUGCACAAUCUCACUGCCAAUACCUCGAUGUUAUACUCAGUGUAUUAAAUGGAAUCAGAAUCCUGAGUCCCACUGUCAAACUUCCUCCUCGUCUAGUCGGUAUGUGUGACUGACAGCUGAUGUCACUGAAUGCUUGAUGUCUGAAAUGCCUAGGAUUCCUUUUUCUCCCCCCAUCCAAAUAUAACAGCUCCAUUUCAUACUCCCUAGAAUUUCAUUUGUGACUGGUUAGCACACUAUCAGUGAGGGAACACGGGGGCUGCAGGAAGCUCACCGUCCUUACAGAUUUCUGGGAGGGAGCUCAAGAGUAAGUAAGUGUGUAAGCCUUCAUAGCUCUACCAAACACAUGCAUAAAACCUGAUUAAACACAGAGGAAGAACAUAAAUAUUCUCAGUCUUCUAAGGGGCAGAUGAAGUCUGGGUAAGAAGGACUAAAGAAAAAGCAUAGAGUAAAAUUCGCUCCCGCUUUUUAAUAACUCUUUAAGAUAAGGAGAGUUGUUUAAUGUUUUCAAAAUAGGCAGAGAGAGAGAGAGCGAGCUAGAGAGAGAAAGUAUGUGGUAUAGUUUAUGUGUGUAUGUGAUGUGAUUUAUGUGUGUGUGAGUGUGUGUAUGUGGUAUGGUUUAUAUGUGUGUGUGUGUGUGUGUGUGUAGCACUGUGACAGAGUGUGUGCUUGGCAUGUGAAAUCCCCUGGUUUCAAUCCUUCCCCUUCAGAAUGUUUCCUUUGGAACAAACCAAUACAUCUGGUGACGCUGACCUUUAGUGCCCCUCCUCCACUCACCCUGUUUUCUACAGCAAAAGUAUCUACAAAAAGGAAGCCGUGCCUCAGGAAGUCUUCACCAAAGCUUGAAGAGCAUGGAGAGAAGAAGUAAGGUUCCAUCAGAUGCCUUGUGUUGAGGUAAGUCCUCCCUCCCAAUCAACCCACAAUGAAUAUUCUCUGAUGUCAGCCCCUCUCUCUGAGCAUCCUGUCUCUGAGACCUUGGAAGUAAGACUUCUGUGUCUGGGACCAAAACUACUGGGGCUAUUUUGGCAGCUGAGCCCUCUGCCUCCUCUGCAGGGAAAAACAGUAGGAACAUUUCAAAUAACAUUCAUAUUUGAGAUAUUUUCUGGCUCUGCGUAUUUUUCUACUUCAUAGCACGUGUAAUUGUCCUCCCUGAUAAAAGUGGACCUAGCACUGCUAUUUUAAAAGUUUUGUGUUCUACACUUUAAAAGGAUACACAAAGUCCUAGCAGGAGAACGUCAAUUACCAAGUACAAAAACAAAACAAAACAAAAAUAGGAAAUCACCAUUUGGCCAAUGCCACAGCAAUGGGUGUUGAAUGAGGAGGGGAAGAAAUAAUGAACAGUGUGUUUAGAGAGUCCCGAGAUCUGUCUCAAAGUACUUCUUAAUUAGAGAUAAAAAUAAAGAUGUUAAGUGACGAGAGGACCUUGCAGAGACAGCAUUAACCAAGUGUCACAAUUACCUAAGCAUGGGGCAUCAGGUGCCCUGGCAGGCUGACGUACUGACUCUUCACAGCAGGAAAGAGCACAGGAGGCUGUGUGUGGGGCUGCAAGGAAUGACCUCCCAUGAAGUACCUGGAUCGAGCUACUGAAGUGUGGGAAAAGUGUCCCGGAAUCGGAGAAAUCAAGGAGGACAGGAAUCAGAGCUGGGUGGGCACCGCUCCUGGAUCAGGAACCACAAAUGGCACAAGAGAGGUCAAAGGGCACUGGGAAGAAGGGGCAGAUGGUGGCAGUACAGUGCAGGUGCUACCUUCAUGGUUCGGACAGCUUCAUCGGGGUUUUGUAAGAUGCUAAUUAGAAGAUGUCAGACACCUCCCACCCCCACGUGUGCAAAACUGAAGCAGAAAUAUUUCAUAUAAAACAAAGUGUUUUUUUUUUAAGUUCCUAAGGUAAAUAAAAGCAACUUAGUGACAUAUGGAACACAAUGUCCCCGACAGUUUGACAAUAAGGCAACACUCUUCCUUCGGGAGGAGAGAAAUCUCUACUUUGCGUAGGGACACAUCAAGGAUAUGCUUCUUUGGAAGGUCUUCAGGCUGGCAGAGCUGGUCACCAAUGGGGAUGGUGUGGGGGCGUUUACGUUCUCACAAUUCCCCAUCUAUCUCAUGUUACCCUCCAGUGCAACGGAAGUGGAGGGUACACUGAGUGUUCAUGAAGAGAAAGCCGUUAACGAGAUGCUCAACGAGAAUAUAACCAUCUGUCGCACUUGUCCCGCAUGUCCCAUGCCCUUUUCCUAGGCUGCAAGCACGCAAGUGGUACACAGAUACACACCCAGGCAAAACAUCCAUACAAACUAAACACACACACACACACCCUUUUUGGGUCCUUUGGAGUCCUUGUUUAUGGGAGCAGACAUUGUUCUGUCUUCUGUCACAGAUAGCAUCCUCUGAGCUUGGAAAGUUUAACAUGAGAUUGAUCCCACUCUUUCCAAGGGGGAGAGGGAGACUAAUGUGUAAGCAGACAGCUCCCAGUAUCACAAGCCUUAGUUUCCUCAUCUAUCACUAUGUGGUGGUAGUGAGGGCAGUAAAAAGACCUUGUCAAGCUUUGACUAGAACAACCUGAGAUUCUUCAUUCUGGGAGUAGCCUUAAAUGUAACUAUAUUCACUGGCAAAGAAGAACAAACUAAGGCCCCAGGUGAAUGUAAGAAGGCUACCAUUUUUACUUCGGUGAUGCUGAGUGUUAAGGCGUGUAUAGCACAACAGAGGAGUACUCCACCGCAAAGGGAUGCACUGUCUCUUUGGAGUCGAGGUGCCCCCUCCAGGUAAUGAGACAGAAAGGAGUGGAUACAGCUGGUCCAGGUUCUUGGCUGGCUCCGAGAGCUAUGCUAAGUCCUCUGAAUCAAUGGUAUGACACAAGUUUGUUCUCUGUUGAGCUGGUGUCUUACUUCAUCACCAGUGCUCAUCUCUAACUCCCGAGCUCAAGAAAUCCUUCUGCAGGAUUGGAGAGAUGGCUCAGCGGAUAAGAGCACUGACUGCUCUCCCACAGGUCCUGAGUUGAAAUGGCUCACAAACCAUCCCUAAUGAGAUCCGAUGCCCUCUUCUGGGGUGUCUGAAGACAGCUACAUGUACUUACAUAUAAUAAAUAAAUACAUCUUUGGGUUGGAGCGAACGGGGCUGGGGAGAGAGACGAAAAAGUGUCUGAAGAUAGCUAUAGUGUACUUAUAUAGAAAUAAAUAAAUUAAAAAAAAAGAAACCCUUCUGCACAGCCUUCUGAAUAGCUGGGGUUUCAGGCUUGAGCCCCCUUUAGAGACAGGCAGCAGAGACACAAAGGCCUGCCCAACAUGUGUAGGAUUAGAUAGCCUGGGUAUGGCUGAAGGGAACAGGUACUCAGGUUGGCCCAGGCCAGGAGCCAGACUCUAGUAUAUUAUGCAAGGUUGCCUCCUAAAUUAUAAUGCACUUCAUUUGCAGAGAGUCCAACACUAGACUCAUGGUGUCUGGUAGCCCAGAGGGUAACAGGCUGUGUUCUUCACAGGGAACAUCUGAGGACAGAGACGGACCAAGAGGGCUCUUGACGGUGGCUGGUGGUAAGGACUAGGAGCGCUUACGGCGAGCUGCUUGGGAGAAGCCUUUUCAGGUGGUUAUCUGAGAGAAGGCACAGGAAGUCAUGAAAUUAGGACCUGAGGACUUGUCCAGGAUAGGCGCAGUAGUGAGAACUGCAUCCUUGUGAAGAUGGGUUUGACCUCUGCUGGAGGCUACAAUGCAGCUAAAUGUGUCUUUAUCUUAAUGACUCCAGAAACGCCAUGCUGUGAAAGAAGCAGGUAGGUAGAGGGAGGUCAGGAGAGCAAACCAACCUCACGUGAAGGGUAACUCACAGACUUGUCGUUCACUUUCCAGAACCCAACCCUCAAAAGAACAUACUUCUAGGGUGUAGCUGGGAACCAGGAAGCAGCCAGCUCUGAGCUGCUGCUUGCUUGCUCUCUCACACAGUGGUAACAAGCAAUGCUCAUCUCUUUUCAAAGCACUCCAAGCAAAUAAACACCUGCAGAGGAGCUGAUGGAGACAGACUUCUCUUACUGGGGUGAGUCUAUUAAACAGAAAAGGAGGCAUAAAAAUGAUAAACCCAGACCGUCAGAACACAGUGAGUGCAAGAAACUGUCAGCAGAGAGCGAACUGCUUCCUUCUCACGCCGGAGGGCACUGCUGGAUUAAGCAUAAUACAAGUUAUGUAUGCUCGCUGAUGUUCCUGAGCGGGUAAGAAAUAACCAGUGUUCACUAGAGUAAAAAGUGCAGCGGUUCUGAAUGCAUGCUGGAAAGAUCUCCAGCAAGGGACAGUGCAGGAAAACGGGAGCAGAAGUCUCAGCCCUCGGUCUGUGUAUCACCUGGUCACGCUUUCUCACUGAGGGAUAUUGGUCCCCGGGCAUGAGAGGAGAGGUUCCUGCUACCUAGUGACUUUCUCAAGACUGACUUACCACUAACCUGUCUCCUAUAGUGUCAGGAGCUUGAGUCUGAAACAGUCUUCACUAAAUUUUUGGCUGUAACUGAAACUGGACUAAGUAAUUAAAAAGGUUUCAAUAUUUAAGCUCACAUUUAAGUUGGGAAUGGAGGGAUGGUUUGAUAGUGAAGAGCACUGGCUGCUCUUCCAGAGGACCCAGGCUCAAUUCCUAUCACACAUGGAGGCUUAGAAGCAUCUUCUUCAGGAGAAGACCUACAGGGGAACUAAUAUCCUUUUCUAGUGCACACAUUUAAAACUGAGGCUUAGUUUAAACCCUGUUUUACCAGGGGCAGGGGUGUCUGUGCACAAGAAAGACAGACAGAGUUUAGUUUUAGUUCUAGACUUCUAUUUGCUCACCAGGAAAAUAACAUUGGUAGACUUUACCAAAAUCUGCAGCAAAAACUAAAUGAUAAAUGUACUCUCAAAACAGGGCUCAAUAUCCCACAGGUGAUCAGGGUCAACUUUUCCAGGGACCCUGGUGUCAGUGGGUUUUAUACUUGGAAUGAGAACACAGUAAAGCUGGGACUGCCAAUAUUCCUGCUAGGACUCUUUAUUUUCUUUAUGGCUUCCCCUAGCUUAUUUAGAAGACAGGCUUCUGUCCCUCAGGGACUGGACUUCUCAAGAGCAGAACACUGCUGUAGGAAACAGUGUCUUCCAAGAGUCAAGGGAAGGAGGAAUGCCACCACUGAGAGGAGAUGGCUUGCUUUCCUCCCUCAAGAAAAGAGUGAGCAAGGCUCCAUCCACGGCGUGUUCCAACACCUUCCCACAUAGCUGGACCCAGAUGUCAUAGGGGACUUGCAGAAAGGAAGUUUCAACAUCAGCUAGCCUUGGCAGAUGCUCCCAAGUCGUUCAAAAAUAAAACUCGGGCGAUGACGGUAAAGAUGGGAUGACGGCUUAAGAUGGAGCAAGAGGCUUUCCCCGUGGCGGGCCUCAGCUUAGUGCUAUGCCCGCUUGCCGUCUUGUUCAGGAACAAACCGGGGCCCAGAUGAGAAACGCGCUCGCGUUGACCAUCCAGAAAGGCAGAGUGUGUGCUUCUGAAGGCAGUGUUCUCCAGCCUUUCUACCUUCCAUUAAAUGGUUGAGUCUG